UACGAAGGGGGCUAGCGUUGCUCGGAAUCACUGGGCGUAAAGGGCGCGUAGGCGGGUCUUUAAGUCAGGGGUGAAAUCCUGGAGCUCAACUCCAGAACUGCCUUUGAUACUGAAGAUCUUGAGUUCGGGAGAGGUGAGUGGAACUGCGAGUGUAGAGGUGAAAUUCGUAGAUAUUCGCAAGAACACCAGUGGCGAAGGCGGCUCACUGGCCCGAGUACUGACGCUG
rnacentral:rRNA from 1 species